CUACGGACCCGGAUACGACAUGUUCUGUGACGUCACCUGUGACAACAGUCUAUGAAAUCAGAAAAAUUGCGUCACCGACCGAUCCCUAGAAACCGGAGUUCAAAGUGUGGAUCAGAAACGCCGUUACCCAGGCGUCUAUCGACUUCAAUGACUAGGCUGUUCCGCUGCCGCUAACAAGCAAGUGCACAGACGGGAACCUUGUCAAUGACAUCACGGGGACGUUUAACGUCAACAUCGUCGACUCGCCACCGGCUUUCACUGCACUGCCUGCUACCGGAUCUAACAUUUUCGACGGUCUCAAACACGCCACCGAAACCCUUCACACAUUCAGCGUCACCGAUAGCGACGACACUGUUACGUGCUCUGCAAGAGCGCCGGAAAACGCCCUUUUUGAAGUGGUCGCCGGCGUGGCACCAAGUAAUAAACUGGAAAAAUCAAUACCAAUUUAAUCCUCGUUCUGGGAAAACUGGGCUAAAUGCAUGUGCUUUAAAAGUCGCCCCUGAGCGGACCAAGGCUAAAAGGUGACGACACUUUUCACUUUUAUAUGUUGUUUUCCUUUUUAUGAAGUCGAUUCUACACGAAAA